GAAUCUUCCGCAAUGGACGCAAGUCUGACGGAGCGACGCCGCGUGGGGGAAGCAGGCNNNCGGGUNGUAAACCUCUGUCCUCANGGGNGAAGAGGGUGUAGCGAUGCACCGAAGACGGUACCUGAGGAGGAAGCACCGGCUAACUACGUGCAAGCCGCCGCGGUAAUACGUAGGGGGCUAGCGUUGGCCGGAAUUACUGGGCGGAAAGGGCUUGUAGGCGGUAUUUUAAGUUAGGCGUGAAAGACCGCGGCUUAACCGGGGGGGUGCGUCUAAAACUGGAGUACUUGAGUGCAGGAGAGGAAAGCGGAAUUCCCGGUGUAGCGGUGAUAUGCGUAGAUAUCGGGAGGAACACCAGUGGCGAAGGCGGCUUUCUGGCCUGCAACUGACGCUGAGGCGCGAAAGCUGGGGGAGCAAACA
rnacentral:rRNA from 1 species